UCACUGGAGCUAUGAGGACUAAAUUAUAGCCAAAGGACUUUGAAAGACCCAAGUGACAAACCAUAGGCCUAAGAGACCUAAUUAAUUUGAUAAUAAAGUGGUAAGGAUAGUGGUUAAAUGAGUCAGAAGACAGGCAUCACUGGCUACUUUAUGGAAGAUAACAACACUAAAAUGGAAGACAUAUGAAGUUGGAGAAAAAAUGAGAUAGCAGUCAAGUGAGAGAGUGGACAAAGAACUGAUAAAGUUUAGAGAGAAGAUGAUAACUCCUCACUGAAAACGACCAGAGACAGUAUAUAUAAAGAAGGUGAAUGUUUUCAUUUGUGCUCAGUAAAACAUUACUAGUA